UAUAUAUUUAAGAUAUCAGUGAGUGUGACUAUCCAAACGGAGGUUGUCAGGACAUUUGUAUAAAUACAGAGGGUUCGUUUCAAUGCAACUGUUCCGGGGAGCAUGAACUGCAGGAAGAUGGUGUUUCCUGUGCCGGGGGUGAAGCAGAAAAGGACACAGUGUUUAAACGGCUAGAAAUACCUCGGCAGCUACUCCCAAAGCCAUGUUUUACUGUUCUACUUGUCCAUUGCACAGAUGGUAAUGAUAUCAAUAUUACCCUCUCUUCAACCUCAGAGUGGUAUCGACUGACUGAUGACACCGAUGUCAUGUAUACGCUUGGCAUAGUCUUCGUGAAAGUGAAUGAUUUCUCAGUUCCAAUGUCUCUAAAAGGAAUCGAAGUUACUUUAAGAAAUGAUGAAUUCGUCUUUAACUAUGGAGUGCAGUACGGGUCGGCACAGGGAACACUCAUAGAAAAUGAUUUGACACUAGAAGUCUGUCGAUCGUUUGAACUAGUGGAGGCUGAUUUCUUUGAUUUUACUAGCAUGGACUCUUUCAUGAAAACGUUUCUUUUAUCGCUGUUUCGGCACUUCCUGACUGGCUGAGAUUCGAAAAGUCUAGCACUGAAAUACUGUCUGUUCAAGACAUAAAGAGCGAUCUAAUAUAUGGCAGAAAUAUGGAUGAGAUUUCAUGGUGCACAGGGGCGCCCGUAUUACCAGACCAUUUAUACAGUGUUUAGAUUUGAUACCGGGUUUACACUUAAUGUUAUGGGACGUGAAGUUGAUAUUCCUAAACCAUUGAAUUCUAGGAAAUUUUGCUUGAUUGUUGACCUUUGCCACGGCUACGGCGGAACAGUGUUUUAUUGAUUCCAGAAGAAUGAGUGUUCAGGUAAUUUUUUGUUGGAUCUGAAUAUAUUUCAGACGCUAAAGAAAGAGCAGAAUAUUCACAUCCUUCCAAGAGGAAUCGGUAUUUCAUUAGUAAAUGGAAUAAAUGCUAAUUAUCACACAUUAUCUGAUGAGCUUUCGAAUGGAGAUUUGUUGUUCACGCCGUGAGUAUCACUUAUGCUCUACUUCUACCGUAUUGGUCUGUUAAAGUCCAGUUUGUUAAAACAGAGAGGGAUGUGUAUUUGAGUUGAAUUGUAUGGAUACAUACUCGUGUGUAUUGACUAUUAUAAAAAAAUCCCUUUUCUGUUGACUAAAAUGUUUUGAGGCAUAACUAUAAAGAGAUGAAAUUUAUUGUAAUUACCUCUUAUAUGGCGUUGACAGAAGCAUGCAUUUCCACUACCGUUAAUGAACAGGCUCAAUCAACCCUGUAACAUGUUUUCUUUUUUACGUGUUGAGUGACCUAUGGGUUUCCACUUUUUCUAUUUCAUUACCACAGCUGCAUUGCUUGUUCUGUGUUUCGGCUGUAAAAUAUUGCCCAAUAUAUUCAAUCAGAGGUGUAUAUUUCAAUCUUUCGGAUAGUUCAACAUGACAUGUAUACUGAGUUAAUGGUGCUGUUUUGUUUUUCAAUUAACAUUUCGGAUUGGAAGGUUCCAGUACUCCUGCAUUCAUAGCUUGGUUAUGGUUAAUUGUGACUGUUUUUUAUUAUUUUGUUCUUUGACCUUUUCUGUAAUAUGCAGGCUCCAUAACCUCGGAUCCCUCAUUAAACUUCUAGUGUGUUCCGUUCUGCCCAUUGUUUUCUAAUUUAGUCCUAUCCUUUUAUUUUAACUGGGAACCCGAUGCCGCUUUAUAUGGAAUUACACUAAAGUGUAUAUUUAAAGGUUCCAUGUACAAACACAGAAAUUCCCUGAAUGACCCUCUUCGAAGAUUGUUCGAAUAAUUAUAAUUUGUAAAGAACAUGGCCGUCACAACAAAAAUAGCAAAAAUGUUUUAGAUUAUUUCACAGAGAUAUUCCUUGGGUUACUCUUGACUAGGAUUUUAAAGCCAUCUUAAUUUGACAACACAUAUAGGCGCUGAUGUUGCAGAUUCUAGUUUUCACAAUAUGAUAUAUCUUUGUACAAAACUUGUUAAAACUUUUACUCUUAAUGAGCAGACCUGUUUUCAAAGUUAAUUGGCAGAAAUGUUUCUUGGGUGACUCUCCACUAAAAUAUUUACCUGUUAUGCAAAUACAAAAUGGUAGGUACAAGCAUGACAACCUGAAUAUAAUUUAUGACACAACAAAGCUUCAUAGCAGCAACAUGCAAGAAAAAAAAACGAGCAGCUAAUACACAUGAUAUACAUACAUAACUGAACUCCAAGUAGGCCCCACCGGUGCUGUAGGAGCUCACUAGCCUGGUUUACAAGCAAUGCACUUGCAGUCCCUGCCAAUCCAUGUAGAUAUGAUGCGUCUGAAUUGGUUGAAGCUUAAGCAAGUCCUGAAGUGAUCUGGAAGCGAGUUUCACAGCAAAACGCAGCAUACCUAGAGCACCGCUUACCAUAAUGUGUUGUUCAAGCAGCUGGCACCCGUUAUAUAUUUGACUAUAUAAAAUUAAUACAUGUAGAUUUUUUAACAAACAUAUCAGACAAGACAGCUGGUGCAACAUUAUUAACUAUCUUUAAAGUUUCUAAGGCCAUGGUUUACAUUCUGCGGACAUGUAAUGAAGGUCAACAACACUGCAAAUGUGGAAGAAUAAUCAACGUACACAAAUCUUAGAGCUCGCUUUUGAAUCUUUUCCAUUUUCCUAGUAUUAGUACAGAGCAGAAAUACCAUGAUAGUGAAUAAAAAGUAAUAUUUGACAAUACCAAAGUGUAGAAUAUGGUAAAAUGGAGAAAAGUGGAAACUUCACAGGUCGCUCAACACGACAAAAACGAAAAUGUUGCAGGCUCGGUUUGAUUGAGGCUGUUCAUGGACGGUAGUGGAAAUGCAUGCUAAGCCUAUUUAGCUUAUUUAGAUUGCAUCCGAAUCUUUUGUCUAUAAACUUUACCUGCUAUGCAGCCUUUUUACAAAUAUUACUAAUAAGAAAAUCAAAUUUCAGCUUGCAGUCAAAGUCCACUCCCACAUGUUUGACUACUUCAUUACAAGAAAUGUAUGUCUGCCCUAGAUUAAAAACAGCAGAUCUGCCGAUAGUUUUCUUGCCAACAGCAAUGGCCUAAAAUUGCCAGGGUUGGCUUGCAUGCAAUUAAAACGAAACCAGUUAAUGAGGUUUUUGCUUUCAUCUUGGAGAAGCUUUACUAGUUCGCAAACUCAGGGGAGUUGAAAGAGAGUGUGUUUUCAUCUGCAUGGUUGUAUAAGGUGUUUCUUUGAAUAAAAUAAAAUGCCAUUUAUAAAUACAUUACACGACAGGGGGCCUAAGAUAGAACUUACGUAUUUCUUGAUAGAUCUUUAUCACACUUGGUCUGUAGCGUCAUUGUAAGUUCCUCUGUGGUGCAAAUACAAAGUAGAACGGUAUUUGUAAUUUUCAGAUGAUUACAUCAAUUUUUCGAGAAGAAUCAAACUUCUUGGCAAGAACUAUUUUGUUUCCCUUCAGCUAGUAACAGCAUCAUUAAAUACUUACAUUUCUUUUGGAGGUAAAUGUUAGGUGAAAUCCGUAUUUGAUAGUGUGAUACAUACUACGUUAGUGCACUAACAUUUAUCCGUUUGUCCGAUUGUCAUAGUUUUGUCAAGCUUCUUUAUGAAAACACAUGUACAUAUAUUCUUAUGAAAUGUCAAAAUUGAAAAAGAUAGUACUUUAUGAUGUUUGAAAUAUAAACAGAGGUUUAUGUUACUGUUCAAAACUUUAAGUUGGUGAAAAUAUACUAUUUACUACACUUAGCUGAGUUUGUUACCCAGAUGUCCGACCGUACCUGAAAUAAUGCCAAGAGGGUUAUCCGAUCUUCCUUCAACAUGAAAACCAGAAAAGUCGUCAUCUUAGCCAUAAAUAUGUCAAUGUGACAUUAAAAUAGAUACAGUUAAAAUCCCCAUUUUACCACGUCAAGGGAAAAAACUAUUUAAGAAAAGCUCAUAUGCUAAUAAGUAAUUGUGUGAGGUUUGGUGCUUAUAGCUAAAAUGCUUUUUGUAGAAUCAUUUUCAAUUUUGGACGGAUGCAUGCACGGACGGACGGACGAACACUAAAUCUAUAUCCCUCCACUUUCGGCGGAGGAUAACAAAAUAAAACUUGAAUAUUUACUACAUUUCGGAAAACAUACAUGAAAUAAUGGCAUAUUACACUAAAUAAGAAAACAAUCCUUCGAGUAUGUAAAACAAGGUAUGAACAUAAUUAUAGUGUAUUUAACGUCUAUUAAUUCAGGCUCUAAUCGGAAAUGGUGUGGCGAAGAUUCAUAUCCUCAAGGCAUAUUUCUGUUUGCAAUGAUUGAAAUUAACCCGUUUAAAGGUGUACCUGUCCUCGAAGAUAUUGUGUUUUCAUCCACAAAUCGUUUACUCUUGUAUGUGACUACAGACCCGCAAGAAAGUCCUCUUGAAGAAAUAAAUUUGAACAUAACAAAUGAUAUAUUAGAACUAGGCAAACUGCUUAGCAACACUGUAUCCAUUCUUGACGAGGCGAUCGACAACAUGGAACUGGCCCUAUCGGGCGCUAUAAAAGUGAUCUUUGUUGAAGUAAAAGGGAGCGUGGUAGAAAUGAAGAAAAUAAUAAAUAUAAAUUUUAACGAUUUCCUAUCUGGAAAUUUAGAAGAGCUAAAAGGGCACUUGGAAGAUACUCAACAAAAGUUUUAUCAAAUAAGGUCUGCUGUUUACAACUUUGCCGAUGAAACUGAAUUUUUUGUCAGUGAAGCGAAAGAUAACUUCACAAAUUUACUCGGAAGCCACGUCCAAAUCAUUGAAGAAAUUAUCCGAAACAUUUCUAAUCAAAUCACAAAAAGUACUAUCUCAUCGGUUGGAAACUACACAGGGUUUGGUUUUAAGUUCACAACGGACUGGAAAAUAUUUGGAUUAAAAGCGUUUGUAAGUAUAUAUGCUCGGAAUAAAAGCAACUGGAGACAUUUUCAUCAGCAAAAAUGGUAUAUAUUUCUAUUUAGAAGGUAAUAUCUGGGAUAUUUUUCUCGUUCAAAUAGAAGUUACAGCCGAGGUUGGAAAAGAGUGGUAUAAGCUGACAUUUAAUCUUCGUGGCCGUUUUGUUGCAAAGGCGAGGAAAAGGCGUCAUUUACAAGUAAAUACUGAAACUUCGGCAGUGCGAUAUAGAAAUAUGGGUGUGUUUUGAAAAGCGAGAAAAAGGCGACAGGUUCAGUCUGGUAGCUCUUCCUUUCAAGACAGUUACCUAGAUGCUUUAAAAAAAGGCCAUACGUCUGGUAUCUGAAGACGCACAGAAACGAUUGUCCCAAGCUCAAGCAGCACUAACAUCUGCACAAAGUGGUUUGACAAAGGCACAGAACUGGCUGGAUGAAAAGCAAACUGCCGUUAGACAUGCCAGUAUCACAUUUGACAGUGCAGUUGAAAAGCUUGAAAGAGCAAAGGAAAAACUUGAAGAAGCGAAGGGACCGUUAAAAGAAGCGAUAAAAAUUGGAAGCCGCACAGAAAUCUGUCGAUAAUCUUUGUAGUGUAGGAACAUGUUCGACAAUAUGCAUUCCUGGAGUUAAAUGUGGAAUUUGUUAUAUAAGGGUUUGGUUUAUUAAGGUACCAUACCCUUGUUGCAGAUUAACAAGUUGUAUGAUAAGGCUUCCUGAUCCUCUUUGUGUUAUUGCUAAUAUACCUUGUAUGAUUUUACGAGCGGCCGCUUAUAUAUUGUUAGAAAUGCAAAAAUAUUUGUUAGAGUAGCAAUGCUGGCUUUUGACGUCGCUAAACAAUGAGAUUAUUUACUGGCUUGUCGAUAUACAUUGCGAUGGACAGUUAGAAUGAAUGUCAUACAAUACUUGUAGAUACACAUUGCGACGGAUUGUAACCAUGAUAGAGAUACAAUAAUGUGUUUAUCAUAUUAAUUUUGUAAAAUAUGAUGAGAUACAGAGUUAUCAAAAUAAAUUCAGAUUAAUGCAAAUAAUUAUCGCAUAUACAGUAUUGAUCAUGGUUAGAAUGUCUUGCUGGGAAUCAUAGGGAAUAAACAUAUUCCUUGCUUUUAAACUUUUGUAGGUGACACUGAAGAACCACCUGAUAUGAAUCGACAGAAUCAUAUUCGAAACUGUCAAAAGGAGGCGCAAUUUUCUAGCUCAAUUAGCGUAAGAUUUAACAUUACCUAUACAAACAUCACAAAAAAUGUUUCUUCGCAACCGCUGCAUCCAAGAAAACGUUUCUCAAUACUCUACUCUAAGCUGUUUUAUUGAAUAAAGGUUGAAAUAAAAGAAUCACUACGACUUUCUGUUGUCAGUCGAAAAUGAUUCGAGAUUAAACCACUCUGUAUGGAUUCGUAUAAAUUAGAAUUUUAAUUUUAGAAAGCUGGUGUAGUCAGUAAAAUAUACAGAGCAUAUAUCUAAGGCGGACUAUGCGCAGUAAAUGUUUUAUUAUAAAUCAGAAGAGUUUAGCUGUAUCUGAAAUUAUAUUUCUUAAACAGAACUGAGUAUUUCUUGACCUCGUUUUCGGAUAUAUGGUGCGUAUUCUACAUGUAACUUUAUAUUUUGUAGUCUGCCAGUGGAGCCCAAAUGUUAUCAUGUCUUAAACGUGAAAAGUACUUGGGUUCUACGUAUCAGCCAACGCAAUGUAUUUUAACGUACUUUUUCUUAUCGAAUAGCGGACUAGCAUGGAGACAAACGGCCAGUUUAUAUUUUGUACAUAGAAGAACAGCCCACAUCGAUAUGACGAAAGCGCCUUACCGUACCACAUUGGAUCAUCCAGUUAUAUCACCUCAACAACCUUUAGAAAAUAUGUUCAUAUGAAGAUUAAAAUGGUUUAAAUGUCGUCACGAUGAUCACCUGUGCAUUUAUAACAACACUUAAUAUUCACAAUCUCAUAUACUGACGAUAAACUGUAUUGAACGUUUAUGAACAGACAUGUUCUAAAAUGUUUUAGGGAACAGAGAAAUAACUGCGUUUAUGAAUUAUAACUUGAUUAAAAUACAAAAUAAUGUUUAACAUAAUAUAUAUAUACUCAGAUGACGAGUAAUUAGAUACCUUUCACUUGCACUCUGAUAAAAUAAACUCAGUGUGCCACCAUAUACAUUUUCCGUUAAGUGUAUUUUACUGUUGCACUGUAGGACUUAACGUAGUUUUACAAAACAUUUUAGGUAAUCCAAUAAUAUUUAAACGACUUGCCAUGUCUAUCAUGAGGGUCUUGCUUGCUCUACUUUUGUAAAUGUCAUGUUCCCUUAAAUGAAAUAGUGGUUGGUAGACGCGUGAUGUUAUUAGUAAAUUUGUAACGGAUCGAAGCCCUGGCCUCAGAGUCUAUAACGCCCUGCAGAGCAAGUGGAAUUAAUGCGUACAAUCUUUAUAAUGCCUUUUAUCUUUUAUAUGUUUACAGACUGCUGUUUGAUGCUCUUCAGAGAGACUCAUCACAAGGAUCAUUAAUUUGUUGAAAGUAUGUGAAUGAAAUAGACAAUGAGAUAAGCGAGACUGAUAAUAUGUAAAUGAAAUAGAACAUGAGAAAGGGACGUUGAAAAUUUGUAUAUAAGAUAUGUAGAGACGGUAUAAUCGUGUGUGUUGUAUUGGCUGUCACUGAUUAAAUUUGGAGCUUUGUAGAUUCCCGCAUGUCUAAAGCUCCAUUUAAUUUUUAUUUUUUAAUCUUUUAUCUUAUUAUGUUAUUCACCAAGGAUAUGUAUUGUUUUUGAUUUUUAACUAUUUUGUACCCUUUUACAAAUUCUUUGAUAUUAUGUUCACUGGAUUUCGGAACUGAUUUGUCAAAUAUUUCAAGCAAAGGAAUCGAUCGAUAUUGUCGCAGUCUGGGUUAAGUUUAAAUUUCUUUUAUAUUGUUUUCUAUUUUGCUCACUGCCAGUCCUUAAUAAAAUUUGACAAAAAUAAAUGACAAUCCGAAAGAACUCGAGCUAAAUUUUGGUUCUGCUAAAAACGUGUACAAAAACUAACAAAGUCAGCUGAUGCUCAUUCAGCUAGUUGUAAAAUAAACAACACAAACUUCUAAUAGUUAAUUUUUAAAAAAUGCAGUUGAUUUUAAAUAGCAUUAGAAUUUCAAAUUUCAAAUAGUAUUUGUUUAAACUGAGAUAUUAGAUUAGGGUUUUUUAAUCGAAACAUAUGCUCUAUUGUUAAAUUGUCUUCAAACAUUUUGCACUAUUCACUGUAGUGUAGCGUUACCAUAUGUUUUCUUCAUCGAGUUGGAACCUAUAGCAUUUCUCCGGAACUUAUAAAUUCCAGGUUUUGAGUCUCAAACAUUCAAUACAGGAUAUGUCAGUAUGUGUUGCUUUUUAUUAUUUCGUCAUUGUCAAAGACACAGGAGGCAUGUAGUGCUAGUAUGCUAGUCCUAAUGUACAUACAAAGGAUCGUCUUAUAUAUAUUUGUUUUGCUAUACAUCAAGUGGACAAGUGCAUUUUGCCGAGAGUUUCAUGUCUGGUUAUUAUUUUGAGUUUCAUGUCUGGUUAUUAUUUUUUGAGUUUUGAUGUCUAAUUUGAACUUUAUAUUUUUAUUCUGUUAAGCAUUUUGAAGGGACAUGUAUCAUUCAAUAUUGACAUUACAUUUUUGUUUUGAAUAAAAAUAAGAAACAUAA
rnacentral:lncRNA from 1 species